AGGGCGUACGGUGAAUGCCUUGGUGCCAACAGGCGAAGAAGGACGCGGCAAGCUGCGAAAAGCCUCGGGAAGCUGCAAGCAAGCGAUGAUCCGGGGAUAUCCGAAUGGGGUAACCUGAUCGAGGCAAUACUCGAUCGUUCAUACCUGAAUACAUAGGGUAUGAAACGCGAAACCCGCUGAAGUGAAACAUCUCAGUAAGCGGAGGAAAAGAAAGAGAAAUCGAUUCCGUAAGUAGUGGCGAGCGAAAGCGGAUGGAGCCCAAACCGAAGGUAUUCCUUCGGGGUUGUAGGACCACGUCAUAUUCGACCAUACUGGAUAGUAGAACAGCCUGGAAAGGCUGGCCGGAGAAGGUGAAAGCCCUGUAGACGAAAUCCAGAGUGGGAAUUAGUGGUAUCCUGAGUAAUACAUCACACGUGGAACGAUGUAUGAACCCGCGCGGACCACCGCGCAAGGCUAAAUACUAGUUGGCGACCGAUAGUGAACAAGUACCGCGAGGGAAAGGUGAAAAGAACCGCUGUGAGCGGAGUGAAAUAGAACCUGAAACCGUAUGUCUACAAAGUGUCAGAGCAGAGCAAUCUGCGAUGGCGUGCCUUUUGUUUAAUGAGUCUGCGAGUCAGUGUUUGUGGCAAGACUAAGGGCUUCCGGCCCGGAGUCGCAGCGAAAGCAAGUCCGAACAGGGCGCAAUAAGUCGCAGGUACUGGACCCGAAGCGGAGGUGACCUACCCUUGGCCAGGUUGAAGCAUGGGUAAAACCAUGUGGAGGACCGAACAGGUGAACGUUGAAAAGUUCUCUGAUGAGCUGAGGGUAGGAGUGAAAGGCUAAUCAAACCCCGUGAUAGCUGGUUCUCUUCGAAAUGCAUUUAGGUGCAGCGUCACGUGCUGAUGCGCGGGGGUAGAGCACUGACAAGGCUAGGGGGCACACCCGCUUACCAAACCUUAUCAAACUCCGAAUACCGUGCAAUGGAACGUGGCAGUGAGACAGUGGGGGAUAAGCUUCAUUGUCGAGAGGGAAACAACCCAGACCAGCAGCUAAGGUGCCUAAAUAACGCUCAGUGGAAAGGAUGUGGGAUUACACAGACAGUGAGGAUGUUGGCUUAGAAGCAGCCACCAUUUAAAAAAUGCGUAAUAGCUUACUCAUCGAGUGAUCCUGCGCCGAAAAUGAUUGGCGAUCAAGCGUUAUACCGAAGCUCUGGACUUUGCCGCAAGGCAGAGUGGUAGAAGAGCGUUGCAUGCGCGUCGAAGGGCGAUGGCGACUGACCCUGGAGCACAUGCAAGUGAGUAUGCAGACAUGAGUAACGUUAAGCCGGGUGAAAUCCCCGGCCGCCGUAAACCCGAGGUUUCCAGGGCAACGUGUUUCGUCCCUGGGUUAGCCGGGACCUAAGCCGAGGCCGAGAGGCGUAGGCGAUGGACAUCAGGUUAAUAAUCCUGAGCUCGCAACCCUUAAACUGGGGGGACGCAUGAGAAAAGAUGACUAGGUUAUUGAAUUCCGAGUUGAGUCUACGGACUCAGCGCAUCAUUGGAUCGAGUGCCAAGAAAAGCCCCAGCGUAUGCUAAGCGACCCGUACCGCAAACCGACACAGGUGGGUGGGUAGAAUAUACCAAGGCGUAAGAGUGAAACCUGGUUAAGGAACUCGGCAAAUUAGCCCCGUAACUUCGGAAGAAGGGGUGCCUGCAGCGAUGCAGGCCGCAGAGAAAUGGCCCAACCGACUGUUUAUCAAAAACACAGCACUCUGCAAAGACGCAAGUCGAAGUAUAGGGUGUGACACGUGACCAAUGCCGAAAGAUUAAGGCAAGGGGUUAGCCGCAAGGCGAAGCUCUAAACCCAAGUCCCGGUGAAUGUCGGCCGUAACUAUAACGGUCCUAAGGUAGCGAAAUUCCUUGUCGGGUAAGUUCCGACCUGCACGAAUCGUGAAACGAGUUGGGCACUGUCUCAACCAGGCGCUCAGUGAAAUUGUAGUGGCGGUGAAGAUGCCGCCUACCCGCAGAAGGACGGAAAGACCCUAUAGACCUUAACUGUAAGCUGUCAUUGUUUCUUCGGUUUUAAUGCUCAGAGUAAGUGGGAGACGCUGAAGACGCCCUUUAGGGGGCGUCCGAGUCAUCAAUGAGACACCACCCUUUGAAACUGGAGGAUCUAACCCUGAGCCGUGAAUCCGGCCAGAGGACCGUGUCAGCCGGUCAGUUUUACUGGGGCGGUAUCCUCCCAAAGAGUAACGGAGGAGCGCGAAGGUGGGCUCAGCCCGGUUGGCAACCGGGUGUCGAGUGCAUGGGCAUAAGCCCGCCUAACUGUGAGACCAACAAGUCGAGCAGAUGCGAAAGCAGGCCCAAGUGAUCCGGCGGUAGAAAGUGGAAUUGCCGUCGCUCAACGGAUAAAAGGUACCUUAGGGAUAACAGGCUGAUCACGCCCAAGAGUUCAUAUCGACGGCGUGGUUUGGCACCUCGAUGUCGGCUCGUCGCAUCCUGG
rnacentral:rRNA from 1 species